rnacentral:rRNA from 1 species
AUGGCUAGUACAUGCUUGUAUGGUGGACAAUGGAUUGAACAUGGGGUGGAGUGGUGGAGUAACUGGAUGUACCGGAUAGUGACGCUUCUCAGCUUAGCGUCACAUCUUAUCCUUGCCGUCUUCGCCGACAUCCGCCGGCGCAAACGCAGAGGUUUGAGGAGAGGGUUGGUGUGGGUGGCAUACCAGCUGACUGACUUGGCCCCGGCAUAUGUCAUGAGCAACCUGUACAUCGAAACCUCACGGCGCGAGAAGAUGAUCUUCGCAUUCUGGGUCCCGUUCCUGAGGCAAGGGUGCCUUUUGUGA